UUCUGAAAUUUGAAAGGAAAGUUCAAGUGAAUUGGGGUAAAGUGAAUGAGUUAAUUGAUGAUUCCUAGAAUAUUACCAAGAUUUUGACAGAUAACGCGGUUAAUGUUAUGAAUAUUCACGACGAUAUAACUGCAUUCAGCCGGCGGUCUCAUAUCUCAACUCUCCUCUCUCCAAAAAAGGUCCAUCCUGAGGAGAACGAAGAAAAACCGAAAGCGGCCCUCCUACCCUACUUGAGAGCCACGACGAAACACAUAAAUAAAGUACUUGACCGACACGAAAUUCCAACAAACUUCCAAUCUCCAAAGAUCAAACAAAUGUCACCAAGUGCAAAAGUUCCAAGAUCACCCUUGAGAAUACCAGGAUUGUGCCAUGUUUCUUACUCAUGCAAAAAACUGUACAUUGGAGGAGUCGGAAGGAAGAUCAGUAAACGGACCAAGGAACACCAGCGAUGCUCCAAUUAUUGCACCGUCGAACUGAUUGUCCUAAUUGAACACUCGAUGGACACCGGACAUACCAUUCAGUCUGAUCAGGCCAGAACGUUGGCCAUAUGUCAAUGAUAUUUAGAAAGGAAAUGUCGAGAGAGCCUAGAGAUCCACAAAAAUCCUUAUAAUUCAAACAGAAACAGAGGAUAUCAAGUCAACCUUAUCUAGAGAACCGUCCUCCUGUUUUUUUUAGUCAACAAACUAAUCAACUAAACAACUGAUUGGCUGAACACUUUCCCCUCUCUCUCUCCGCGCAGGAGAGGUCAUAUAAGGACUCCUCAGAGACAUCAGAGUUCAUAGUUCUGAAGAUGCAAUUCAUAACAACAAUUUAAAGUUGUCCUUUUCGGAAUUCACUCUCCGGGAACACUCGAAAGUCGCUCCAGCUAUUUCUCACUCAUACCACCGAUCAGGAAGGUUAGCUGGAUAAGAUGACCAGGUCUUUGCACCAAGACCCCAGUCUCGGACAACGGGGGCUCCCAUUCAUACUCUCACUCUUCGACGAGGUGGCCAUUCCCAAUCGCCGCGCAGACUAGCUCACUGAUAAGCAGUCACAAUUCCGCGAAGGCGGUAAAUGACUCCCUAGAUGACCCAACAGAUUUAUGAUUAUUUCCGUAAUGCAUUCCCGCUGUGGUGCAUCUAUCGAACACUCCACUGGUCUCUUCGGCUUGUUCGCAGUCACAGGUCCUUGAGUCAGCAAGGUACUGGUCUUGAAGAUAGGACCGUAACUGCCCGUGCCUCGUCAGGACCUGCCAGAUUCAGUGGUCACAGCCGUGAAGGUGCGGACCGCAAUAUUUGUGGAACGCUGAAACAAAACAUGGCAUCCAUCCGGAAGCCAAGCAUAUAAAUAAUCAUGGCCGCAAAGGCCUCACAUCUAAAAUUGAGAUGUUUAUUUACACAAAUCAGAAAUUGAUAUUUUCAUAUCAAUAUUUUUCUUGACCACUUGUUCAAUGAAAAUUAGAAAUUAAAGUUGAGCAAUAAUUUGCAUUCAUAAACUGGUUCAAACAAUUAGAUAAGUCAAUUGUUAAUUCUGAUGAUUCACCAGGAAAAUUUUGCGGUUUCAAUGCUGUAACUACUCAAGAAUCAGCAAAGAUGAUACACUAAUAUUUGUUUAUAAAAAAUGCAAGUCAAUUUUCAAACGAAUAACACAAAUCUCCAAUAUCUUUAUAAAUCACUAAUAAUGAAACUUAAGUAUCCAAGGGUGUGGAGAUCAGAGAGGAGUUGGCGGAGAUGACUACAUAUGCAAAUCAUCGAUUGUCGAGUUCAUCUUUACCUCUUGUCAAAUGAAUAAACAAUUGAUUCUCCGGACAGUUGACACCCUGGAAUGACGAUCAAUAAAUGUCUACCAACCUCGUAAAUCCACUGUUAAACGAUUCUCAAAUAUAAAUUAUUGUCAAGCUCACUUCUAUAACUGAUUUAUGUUUACUUGGUUUCACUCUCUCGGGGAUAAAAAUAAAUAAA